rnacentral:tRNA from 1 species
GCCCCCGUGGUGGAAUUGGCAUACACAGCAGGUUGAGGGCCUGUGCCCGUUAAGGGCGUGCCCGUUCGAGUCGGGCCGGGGGCA